CAGCCGCACGGUAAUACGUAGGUGGCAAGCGUUGUCCGGAAUUAUUGGGCGUAAAGCGCGCGCAGGUGGUUUAAUAAGUCUGAUGUGAAAGCCCACGGCUCAACCGUGGAGGGUCAUUGGAAACUGUUAAACUUGAGUGCAGGAGAGAAAAGUGGAAUUCCUAGUGCAGCGGUGAAAUGCGUAGAGAUUAGGAGGAACACCAGUGGCGAAGGCGGCUUUUUGGCCUGUAACUGACACUGAGGCGCGAAAGCGUGGGGAGCAAACAGGAUUAGAGACCCGAGUAGUCCCUGUCUCUUAUACA
rnacentral:rRNA from 1 species